rnacentral:sRNA from 1 species
ACCUCUGCUGCGCGCAGCCUGCGGUGCGGGUCAUGGCGCGGCUACCGAAGCUGGCAGUCUUUGAUUUGGAUUACACUCUCUGGCCUUUCUGGGUCGACACGCACGUAGACCCUCCGUUCCAUAAGAGCAGGUGAGGUAGGGACAGGGAGGACUGGGGCGAGAUAGGACCCAGCCAGGGCUGAGCGCACUCUUGCCCUCCCCAGUGAUGGAACUGUACGAGAUAGGCGGGGCCAAGACGUCCGACUGUACCCAGAGGUGCCUGAGGUCCUAAAACGAUUGCAGAGCCUUGGGGUGCCCGGUGCGGCUGCUUCAAGGACAAGUGAGAUAGAAGGGGCCAACCAGCUACUGGAGCUCUUUGACCUUAUCAGGUACUUUGUUCAUCGGGAAAUCUAUCCAGGCAGCAAGAUCACACACUUUGAGAGGUAUGAGGAGAUAAGGGAGGAGCAGGGUGAGAAAGUACCAGAGAGGCUUGGGAAACCAAGAUACUAGCUUGGUUACUCCUGCCCUGUCUUGCACAGGUUGCAGCAGAAGACUGGAAUUCCUUUCUCCCAGAUGAUCUUCUUUGAUGAUGAGAGGCGGAAUAUUGUAGACGUCAGCAAACUGGGUACUGAGUGAUGACGAACAGCCAUUUGGGGUCCCUAGGAGGGAUUAGGUAGAUACAUACAGGUUGAAUAGUUUGCCCUAUAGGUGGCACCCACAAAGGUCAGAGUAAUAAUGGAGAACCCUGAAAGCCUAAUGAAAUGUGACUUCUUAUCUUUCUAGGUGUUACCUGCAUUCACAUCCAGAAUGGAAUGAAUCUUCAAACUCUAAGUCAAGGGUUACAGACAUUUGCGAAGGCCCAAACUGGGCCUUGAGGUCCAGCCUUGAGGAGAGCCCAUUUGAGGCCUAAACUGAAAGGAAAUCAAGAAGGCAUUUUCAGGUGCAUUUGUAAUUUAUUAAAGUUCAUCUGUGUGUGACAGAAGAGAUUUUACCCACAGUGUGGGGAGUUUCUAUUUUUCUAGCCUGUGAAAUGGGGUUGGUUGUCCUGAGGUGCAGAGACCAGAAUGUGAGAUAUUAGACUGCAUCAGGUUUGCCAUCUAAACUUAGGGCAACCCCAAGUGCUUGAACCUAUACCACCCCGCUUUCCUGAGCUCUGUAAAGAGCAUGAAGUUUUCCCACUGACCCCAUACACUGAGGUGCCAUCACACUGCACAUUUCCUUCCAGAGAACAAGCACAUACUCGGGUGGAGAUAGAACUGGCUUUUUAUGUACUAGAAAAUGAUGUGGCUGCUUUAAGAGGAGCGCGUCGGUCUGGGGCUGGUGGCUUGGGUCACGUGACAGCGGUGGUCUCGUUUGCGCCUCUUGAUGUCGCGACGGCGCUCUGAGGAGGGAUUGGGCAAGGCUGGUCCCUGUGUGAUGAGACAUCACCCUCCCAGGAGCAAGGCGGAAGUCAGAGGACGCCGAGGGGCGGAGGCGGGAGAGGCGAGCUCGCGAUGAGUGGUCUCGGCAGGCUCUUCGGGAAGGGUGAGCCAGGGUGGGACUGGCCAGCCAGGAGGCGCUGGCUAGUGCAGGGGAAGAGGAGACCCCGGCGAGAUUCGGCCGGACCGCUGCGCCGGGCAGGGGAAGAGAAUCAGGAGACAGGCUGACUGGAAAACCCCGGCGGCCGAUGGCGGAGCAAGGCUCAUCGCCGGUGCCAAAAGGCACACCAUGUCAGGGCGCCUUGUUCCCGUCCGCCGUCCUCCCCCACUCUCAGAGGGAAGAACUCAAGAUCGGGGAGGGGACUUGAGUUGAGGGCGUGGCGAUCGUGCUGGCUCCCACUGUUCAGGCUUGAAGACGAGUUUCCUGCUGUCUUCAGCCCUUUUCAAAAGCUUGUCCUAUAAUACUUUGUGCUGGGCAAGAGGGAUCUAAGGUGAAGAAGAAAGACUGCCUUCUUGGCCCGGCGCGGUGGCUCACGCCUGUAAUCGCAACACUUUGGGAAGCCGACGUGGGUGGAUCAUGAGGUCAGGAGUUUGAGACCAGCCUGGCCAAUAUGGUGAAACCCCGUCUCUACUAAAAAUAUAAAAUUGGCCGGGCGCGGUGGCUCACUCCUGUAAUCCCAGCACUUUGGGAGGCAGAGGUGGGUGGAUCACCUGAGGUCAAGAGUUCGAGACCUGCCU